GGCUGACUGCUAAACAGAACCGGUUCAAACCGGUUUCACUCUUAUUUUUCAGCGUAUAAACCACAAAAACAUUUGUUUGCAUUAAACAUUCGCCAUUUCACACAGCAUCUGAUCGACUGUUGACUGUAAACUCUCACAAAAAAGAGGCAUUUCACCUCCUACACACAAAUUUGCUUUCCUGCUACCAACAUGGUCAAAAAGAAGGAGGCAGCUUCCACCACUGAGAGAAGAUGCUCAGAACGUCUGAGGGGGAAAUCCAAACCUGCACUUAAAGUGGCGUCUGCGAUGGCGACAACUGGAAAAAAGAAAACCAAAGCAAAGAAGCCUCCUACAGAAAGUGAGAAUGCCAAGACUGAGACCAGUGCCAGCGCCCCUGAAUCCAACUGAAUGACUGAACUGCCCUCUACAUGUACUUGGUGACUGUACAGUUUUAAAGAAGUAUUUUUUACCAGGUUUUAUAUUACAAAUUGUCAUUUCUAGAUUUGUUUUGGGCAUGCACCUGAUGAAACAAAGUUGUUUUCAACAUUCAUAUGCAUUUUAAAAUAAUUCAUUGUCCAUAUCCUGUAGACGUGGCAGUUUUUUUUUUUUUUUUUUUUUGGUAAAAGCAGAGUACUGCUAAUACAGCUGUUUUCCGCUAAAUAUUAAAUGUAAUUUUAAAAUACGGCAGCUACAGCAUGUUGUUACAAGUUCACUUAUAAUUUUACCGAUAAAGAAAUGAAUCAUUCAGCUAAUGCUUUGAACAUUUUUAUAUCCACAUGAAGUGUAAGCAGUGAAAAUGCUGCCAAAAAUAAAAUUAAAUAAAUGAAAGUAGAGCUGAUAAUCUGUUUAAUACAUACCAAAAGCAUGUAUAAUGUGAAGCUUGUCAUCUGAUUUAAACAGUUCUGUUAAAUUAUGUCCUGUAAAAGUGGAAGGAAGCCUUAGCUUAAUGUUGAAUAAAAUUCUACAAAAU